rnacentral:lncRNA from 1 species
GGCAGGCGACGCACAUCGAUUCCUGACACACUCCGAGAUCCCCGCAUUUGGAUGGGAGGGCGCAUCCCGGAAGCACACCGUCGUCGUCGGAGAAGUAGGUGAAGGUUCUCUCCCACGCGUCGGUGGCGACUGGGUCGUAGUAAGUGUAGGCUACAAGGUUACCGGAGAUUUCUAAACGGAGGAUGGAGAGUGUGGCGUUGUACUUGACCUGCGCCACGAUGAAGUUUCCACCGGUAUCAGGGGUGAGUUGUAGUUCGUAGAACUCCGGUACGUCGUUGAAGGAGAAUCCCGGUUCG